rnacentral:rRNA from 1 species
UACAGAGGUCUCAAGCGUUGUUCGGAUUCAUUGGGCGUAAAGGGUGCGUAGGUGGCGCCGUAAGUGGGGUGUGAAAUUUCGGAGCUUAACUCCGAAACUGCAUUCCAUACUGCGGUGCUUGAGGACUGGAGAGGAGACUGGAAUUUACGGUGUAGCAGUGAAAUGCGUAGAGAUCGUAGGGAAGACCAGUGGCGAAGGCGGGUCUCUGGACAGUUCCUGACACUGAGGCACGAAGGCCAGGGGAGCAAACGGG